rnacentral:tRNA from 1 species
UGCCUGGUGGUCUAGUGGUUAGGACUUGGUACUUUCACUGCCAGGGGCCCAGGUUUGAUCUCUGAUCAGGGAA